rnacentral:misc_RNA from 1 species
AAUAUCAAUCCCCAUGGGUUUUGUCGACCCGUGGUGGACUUGGACUUGGGCGUCUGCCUCUCCAGGCUCGCCUCAAAUGACUCAGUGGGAUCCUGUGACCUACGCCCGACGUAAUAAGUUUCGUCUCGGCCGGUCGCCAGGGCCUGCUCACAACACCCCAUUAUCUUUUUGA